rnacentral:lncRNA from 1 species
CGGGAAGCAGCUCAUGAGAUAGGUAGGGAUGGGCUGUAGAACCCUCCUUUAUCAAUACAUCUCUCCCUGCAUUGGAAACAUACUUAGUCUUCCAUGUUUUUGCAUGGGAGGUCAUUCUGUCAAUAAGGAAAGCAAAGGUUUCCUUUCAGGAUCUAUGUUGGAAUCCUUAGGUAUGUUUAGUGGUGGUGGCUCGGUUUGAAGCCAAUGUUGUUG